rnacentral:rRNA from 1 species
UACAGAGGUCCCAAGCGUUGUUCGGAUUCACUGGGCGUAAAGGGUGCGUAGGUGGCUUGGUAAGUUUGAUGUGAAAUCUCCGGGCUUAACCCGGAAAAUGCAUUGAAUACUAUUUGAGCUGGAGGUUUGGAGGGGGGACUGGAAUUCUUGGUGUAGCAGUGAAAUGCGUAGAUAUCAAGAGGAACACCAGUGGCGAAGGCGGCAUCCUGGACCGGUAUUGACACUGAAAAGCGAAAGCCAGGGGAGCAAACGGG